rnacentral:rRNA from 1 species
GAUGAACGCUAGCUACAGGCUUAACACAUGCAAGUCGAGGGGUAACGAGAGGGAAGCUUGCCUUCCUUGUCGACGACCGGCGGAUGGGUGAGUAACGCGUAUCCAACCUGCCCUUCAGUAAGGGAUAGCCUUUCGAAAGAAAGAAUAAUACCUUAUGUGAUCGUCUGAUGACAUCAGACGACGAUCAAAGAUUUAUCGCUGAAGGAUGGGGAUGCGUCCCAUUAGGCAGUAGGCGGGGUAACGGCCCACCUAACCUACGAUGGGUAGGGGUUCUGAGAGGAAGGUCCCCCACAUUGGAACUGAGACACGGUCCAAACUCCUACGGGAGGCAGCAGUGAGGAAUAUUGGUCAAUGGCCGUAAGGCUGAACCAGCCAAGUAGCGUGCAGGAUGACGGCCCUAUGGGUUGUAAACUGCUUUUAAACGGGGAUAAAGUGAGCCACGUGUGGUUUAUUGCAGGUACCGUUUGAAUAAGGACCGGCUAAUUCCGUGCCAGCAGCCGCGGUAACAC